UAGCAAUACCUUAGUGGCGGACGGGUGAGUAAUACAUAGGAAUCUGCCUUGUAGUGGGGGACAACUUGGGGAAACUCAAGCUAAUACCGCAUACGACCUACGGGUGAAAGGGGGCUUCGGCUCUCGCUAUAAGAUGAGCCUAUGUCUGAUUAGCUAGUUGGUGGGGUAAAGGCCUACCAAGGCGACGAUCAGUAGCUGGUCUGAGAGGACGACCAGCCACACUGGGACUGAGACACGGCCCAGACUCCUACGGGAGGCAGCAGUGGGGAAUAUUGGACAAUGGGCGCAAGCCUGAUCCAGCAAUACCGCGUGUGUGAAGAAGGCCUGCGGGUUGUAAAGCACUUUAAGUUGGGAAGAAAAGCUGUUGGUUAAUACCCAAUAGUGUUGACGUUACCAACAGAAUAAGCACCGGCUAACUCUGUGCCAGCAGCCGCGGUAAUACAGAGGGUGCAAGCGUUAAUCGGAAUUACUGGGCGUAAAGCGUACGUAGGUGGCUAAAUAAGUCAGAUGUGAAAUCCUCGAGCUCAACUUGAGAAUUGCAUUUGAAACUGCUUAGCUAGAGUAUGGUAGAGGGAAGUGGAAUUCCACGUGUAGCGGUGAAAUGCGUAGAUAUGUGGAGGAACAUCAGUGGCGAAGGCGACUUCCUGGACUAAUACUGACACUGAGGUACGAAAGCGUGGGGAGCAAACAGGAUUAGAUACCCUGGUAGUCCACGCCCUAAACGAUGAGAACUAGAUGUUGGGGGAGUUAAGUCCCUUAGUAUCGCAGCUAACGCGUUAAGUUCUCCGCCUGGGGAGUACGGCCGCAAGGUUAAAACUCAAAUGAAUUGACGGGGGCCCGCACAAGCGGUGGAGCAUGUGGUUUAAUUCGAUGCAACGCGAAGAACCUUACCUGGGCCUUGACAUGUC
rnacentral:rRNA from 1 species